UACGGGGGGAGCAAGCGUUGUUCGGAUUUGCUGGGCGUAAAGGGCGCGUAGGCGGCCAGCACAAGUCAGUUGUGAAAUCUCCGAGCUUAACUCGGAACGGUCAACUGAUACUGUGCGGCUAGAGUGCGGAAGGGGCAACUGGAAUUCUUGGUGUAGCGGUGAAAUGCGUAGAUAUCAAGAGGAACACCUGCGGCGAAGGCGGGUUGCUGGGCCGACACUGACGCUGAGGCGCGAAAGCCAGGGGAGCGAACGGG
rnacentral:rRNA from 1 species